rnacentral:rRNA from 1 species
UUUAUGGAGAGUUUGAUCCUGGCUCAGGAUGAACGCUGGCGGCGUGCCUAAUACAUGCAAGUCGAGCGAACGGACGAGAAGCUUGCUUCUCUGAUGUUAGCGGCGGACGGGUGAGUAACACGUGGAUAACCUACCUAUAAGACUGGGAUAACUUCGGGAAACCGGAGCUAAUACCGGAUAAUAUUUUGAACCGCAUGGUUCAAAAGUGAAAGACGGUCUUCCUGUCACUUAUAGAUGGAUCCGCGCUGCAUUAGCUAGUUGGUAAGGUAACGGCUUACCAAGGCAACGAUGCAUAGCCGGCCUGAGAGGGUGAUCGGCCACACUGGAACUGAGACACGGUCCAGACUCCUACGGGAGGCAGCAGUAGGGAAUCUUCCGCAAUGGGCGAAAGCCUGACGGAGCAACGCCGCGUGAGUGAUGAAGGUCUUCGGAUCGUAAAACUCUGUUAUUAGGGAAGAACAUAUGUGUAAGUAACUGUGCACAUCUUGACGGUACCUAAUCAGAAAGCCACGGCUAACUACGUGCCAGCAGCCGCGGUAAUACGUAGGUGGCAAGCGUUAUCCGGAAUUAUUGGGCGUAAAGCGCGCGUAGGCGGUUUUUUAAGUCUGAUGUGAAAGCCCACGGCUCAACCGUGGAGGGUCAUUGGAAACUGGAAAACUUGAGUGCAGAAGAGGAAAGUGGAAUUCCAUGUGUAGCGGUGAAAUGCGCAGAGAUAUGGAGGAACACCAGUGGCGAAGGCGACUUUCUGGUCUGUAACUGACGCUGAUGUGCGAAAGCGUGGGGAUCAAACAGGAUUAGAUACCCUGGUAGUCCACGCCGUAAACGAUGAGUGCUAAGUGUUAGGGGGUUUCCGCCCCUUAGUGCUGCAGCUAACGCAUUAAGCACUCCGCCUGGGGAGUACGACCGCAAGGUUGAAACUCAAAGGAAUUGACGGGGACCCGCACAAGCGGUGGAGCAUGUGGUUUAAUUCGAAGCAACGCGAAGAACCUUACCAAAUCUUGACAUCCUUUGACAACUCUAGAGAUAGAGCCUUCCCCUUCGGGGGGCAAAGUGACAGGUGGUGCAUGGUUGUCGUCAGCUCGUGUCGUGAGAUGUUGGGUUAAGUCCCGCAACGAGCGCAACCCUUAAGCUUAGUUGCCAUCAUUAAGUUGGGCACUCUAAGUUGACUGCCGGUGACAAACCGGAGGAAGGUGGGGAUGACGUCAAAUCAUCAUGCCCCUUAUGAUUUGGGCUACACACGUGCUACAAUGGACAAUACAAAGGGCAGCGAAACCGCGAGGUCAAGCAAAUCCCAUAAAGUUGUUCUCAGUUCGGAUUGUAGUCUGCAACUCGACUACAUGAAGCUGGAAUCGCUAGUAAUCGUAGAUCAGCAUGCUACGGUGAAUACGUUCCCGGGUCUUGUACACACCGCCCGUCACACCACGAGAGUUUGUAACACCCGAAGCCGGUGGAGUAACCUUUUAGGAGCUAGCCGUCGAAGGUGGGACAAAUGAUUGGGGUGAAGUCGUAACAAGGUAGCCGUAUCGGAAGGUGCGGCUGGAUCACCUCCUUU